rnacentral:rRNA from 1 species
AUACGGCGGGAGCUAGCGUUAUUCGGAAUUACUGGGCGUAAAGCGCACGUAGGCGGCUUUGUACGUUAGAGGUGAAAGCCUGGAGCUCAACUCCAGAACUGCCUUUAAGACUGCAUCGCUUGAAUCCAGGAGAGGUGAGUGGAAUUCCGAGUGUAGAGGUGAAAUUCGUAGAUAUUCGGAAGAACACCAGUGGGGAAGGCGGCUCCCUGGAGUGUUAGUGAAUCGGAGGGUCGAAAGCGGGAGGAACAAACAGGAUUAGAUACCCGGGUAGUCCACGCCGUAAACGGUGAUACCUAGCUGACCGGGCACUUAGUGCUUGGGUGGCGCAGCUACCGCAUUAAGUUAUCCGCCUGGGGAGUACGGCCGCAAGGUUAAAACUCAAAUGAAUUGACGUGG